rnacentral:siRNA from 1 species
CAAGAAUUUUGGAUAUCGUCGUCU